rnacentral:tRNA from 1 species
UGGGCGAAACUGCGGACUUGUAAUCUGUUGGUCGCAGGUUCGAAUCCUGCAGGGGGCACCA